UACGGGGGGGGCAAGCGUUGUUCGGAAUUACUGGGCGUAAAGGGCUCGUAGGUGGCCAACUAAGUCAGACGUGAAAUCCCUCAGCUUAACUGGGGAACUGCGUCUGAUACUGGAUGGCUUGAGUUUGGGAGAGGGAUGCGGAAUUCCAGGUGUAGCGGUGAAAUGCGUAGAUAUCUGGAGGAACACCGGUGGCGAAGGCGGCAUCCUGGACCAGAACUGACACUGAGGCACGAAAGCGUGGGGAGCAAACAGG
rnacentral:rRNA from 1 species